GCCCCUGUAGCUCAAUGGAUAGAGCAUCGGUCUUCGGAACCGAGGAUGGGGGUUCAAUUCCCUCCAGGGGCA
rnacentral:tRNA from 1 species